ACAUAUAAUCAUGCACUGGCAUACAAAAUAGAUGUUUCAUCAUUUCUUAGAUAUAAAAUAUAUAUACAAAUAUUCUGUUAAAAUCUUUUUUUUUAAGACUGCUAUACACAUGUUUACCUCUGUAGUUGUGUAAGGAAGCAGCAUAUCUCCAAAAGACCAACUGGCCAAUGUUCCCAUUCUCCCUCAAAUGAAUAUUUUCACUUUUUUAUUAUUUUUUUAAAAUAAUAUUUACAUUACUGUUACACAAGAGGCACUGAGAAAACACAGAGGUACUUAUACAAAAAUAAAUACGCCAUACUGAAUUUUAAAAGUCAGGAAUUACAGGUUUUGUUACUAGAACUGUAGUUGGCUCAGCUCCAUAAUAAAUAAUCAAUUUUUAGUUUGGGACAGGUUACUGGUGUAAUUCCAUUCAACCAAAACCCUUACUGUAACUUGGCUGCCUGGGUAAACUUUAAACAGGGUACCAACUCUCUAAGUAUAUAGAGGAUAACCACACUGCAGAAUUAUUUCCCAUUUAGAAUGACAAAACCGUGGUUUACAGGUAAUUCAGCUUAAAUUUCCUGUCUGAGGCAAGAAGAAGCUAUUUAUUCUUUCAGGUUUAAGUUAUUCUUUCAGAUCUGUACAUUGGAAGCUUUUUUAUAACUUAUGCUAAAGCCACUCAGUGCAAUUUUCUGUAUAUCUUUACCUACAUGGCUUGUAUAUUCAUAAAAAUUUUUGGUCCUUUUGCGCAGUUUCAGGGAUGCAAUCUCAAUGUAAAUAAGAAUCAGACCUUGGAAUCUGGAGUGAUCUGGGCAAAUUAGUCUGUGGAAUGGAAGAGUGAUCAUAUACCAUAUCCACUAUAUCUUUCUGAAAAAUUGGAUCACUGAUCUUAGCCUUUUCUUAUGGCCAAAACGGCAUUCAACAUAUGACUGCAAAUGCUUCUUUUCAACUCCAGAUAACGGCUCAUUGGUAUGUGACUGCAAUGAGAUAGUUGCAAGAUGGGGCAAGGGAUUGACACAGUGUGAGUGUGCAGGGGACCCCAGUCACUGACGCUCCAGGACAGAAGGUAUGGUUGCUUCUGCUGUAUAAAGCAAAGUAUAUGGGUGCUUUUCUGGCAGCUUUGAUGGCAAGGUGGUAAC
rnacentral:lncRNA from 1 species